UUAAGCGACUAAGCGUACACGGUGGAUGCCCUGGCAGUCAGAGGCGAUGAAGGACGUGCUAAUCUGCGAUAAGCGUCGGUGAGGUGAUAUGAACCGUUAUAACCGGCGAUUUCCGAAUGGGGAAACCCAGUGUGUUUCGACACACUAUCAUUAACUGAAUCCAUAGGUUAAUGAGGCGAACCGGGGAACUGAAACAUCUAAGUACCCCGAGGAAAAGAAAUCAACCGAGAUUCCCCCAGUAGCGGCGAGCGAACGGGGAGGAGCCCAGAGCCUGAAUCAGUGUGUGUGUUAGUGGAAGCGUCUGGAAAGGCGCGCGAUACAGGGUGACAGCCCCGUACACAAAAAUGCACAUAUUGUGAGCUCGAUGAGUAGGGCGGGACACGUGGUAUCCUGUCUGAAUAUGGGGGGACCAUCCUCCAAGGCUAAAUACUCCUGACUGACCGAUAGUGAACCAGUACCGUGAGGGAAAGGCGAAAAGAACCCCGGCGAGGGGAGUGAAAAAGAACCUGAAACCGUGUACGUACAAGCAGUGGGAGCCUCUUUAUGGGGUGACUGCGUACCUUUUGUAUAAUGGGUCAGCGACUUAUAUUCUGUAGCAAGGUUAACCGAAUAGGGGAGCCGAAGGGAAACCGAGUCUUAACUGGGCGUUAAGUUGCAGGGUAUAGACCCGAAACCCGGUGAUCUAGCCAUGGGCAGGUUGAAGGUUGGGUAACACUAACUGGAGGACCGAACCGACUAAUGUUGAAAAAUUAGCGGAUGACUUGUGGCUGGGGGUGAAAGGCCAAUCAAACCGGGAGAUAGCUGGUUCUCCCCGAAAGCUAUUUAGGUAGCGCCUCGUGAAUUCAUCUCCGGGGGUAGAGCACUGUUUCGGCAAGGGGGUCAUCCCGACUUACCAACCCGAUGCAAACUGCGAAUACCGGAGAAUGUUAUCACGGGAGACACACGGCGGGUGCUAACGUCCGUCGUGAAGAGGGAAACAACCCAGACCGCCAGCUAAGGUCCCAAAGUCAUGGUUAAGUGGGAAACGAUGUGGGAAGGCCCAGACAGCCAGGAUGUUGGCUUAGAAGCAGCCAUCAUUUAAAGAAAGCGUAAUAGCUCACUGGUCGAGUCGGCCUGCGCGGAAGAUGUAACGGGGCUAAACCAUGCACCGAAGCUGCGGCAGCGACACUAUGUGUUGUUGGGUAGGGGAGCGUUCUGUAAGCCUGUGAAGGUGGCCUGUGAGGGUUGCUGGAGGUAUCAGAAGUGCGAAUGCUGACAUAAGUAACGAUAAAGCGGGUGAAAAGCCCGCUCGCCGGAAGACCAAGGGUUCCUGUCCAACGUUAAUCGGGGCAGGGUGAGUCGACCCCUAAGGCGAGGCCGAAAGGCGUAGUCGAUGGGAAACAGGUUAAUAUUCCUGUACUUGGUGUUACUGCGAAGGGGGACGGAGAAGGCUAUGUUGGCCGGGCGACGGUUGUCCCGGUUUAAGCGUGUAGGCUGGUUUUCCAGGCAAAUCCGGAAAACCAAGGCUGAGGCGUGAUGACGAGGCACUACGGUGCUGAAGCGACAAAUGCCCUGCUUCCAGGAAAAGCCUCUAAGCAUCAGGUAACAUCAAAUCGUACCCCAAACCGACACAGGUGGUCAGGUAGAGAAUACCAAGGCGCUUGAGAGAACUCGGGUGAAGGAACUAGGCAAAAUGGUGCCGUAACUUCGGGAGAAGGCACGCUGAUAUGUAGGUGAAGCGACUUGCUCGUGGAGCUGAAAUCAGUCGAAGAUACCAGCUGGCUGCAACUGUUUAUUAAAAACACAGCACUGUGCAAACACGAAAGUGGACGUAUACGGUGUGACGCCUGCCCGGUGCCGGAAGGUUAAUUGAUGGGGUUAGCGGUAACGCGAAGCUCUUGAUCGAAGCCCCGGUAAACGGCGGCCGUAACUAUAACGGUCCUAAGGUAGCGAAAUUCCUUGUCGGGUAAGUUCCGACCUGCACGAAUGGCGUAAUGAUGGCCAGGCUGUCUCCACCCGAGACUCAGUGAAAUUGAACUCGCUGUGAAGAUGCAGUGUACCCGCGGCAAGACGGAAAGACCCCGUGAACCUUUACUAUAGCUUGACACUGAACAUUGAGCCUUGAUGUGUAGGAUAGGUGGGAGGCUUUGAAGUGUGGACGCCAGUCUGCAUGGAGCCGACCUUGAAAUACCACCCUUUAAUGUUUGAUGUUCUAACGUUGGCCCGUAAUCCGGGUUGCGGACAGUGUCUGGUGGGUAGUUUGACUGGGGCGGUCUCCUCCUAAAGAGUAACGGAGGAGCACGAAGGUUGGCUAAUCCUGGUCGGACAUCAGGAGGUUAGUGCAAUGGCAUAAGCCAGCUUGACUGCGAGCGUGACGGCGCGAGCAGGUGCGAAAGCAGGUCAUAGUGAUCCGGUGGUUCUGAAUGGAAGGGCCAUCGCUCAACGGAUAAAAGGUACUCCGGGGAUAACAGGCUGAUACCGCCCAAGAGUUCAUAUCGACGGCGGUGUUUGGCACCUCGAUGUCGGCUCAUCACAUCCUGGGGCUGAAGUAGGUCCCAAGGGUAUGGCUGUUCGCCAUUUAAAGUGGUACGCGAGCUGGGUUUAGAACGUCGUGAGACAGUUCGGUCCCUAUCUGCCGUGGGCGCUGGAGAACUGAGGGGGGCUGCUCCUAGUACGAGAGGACCGGAGUGGACGCAUCACUGGUGUUCGGGUUGUCAUGCCAAUGGCACUGCCCGGUAGCUAAAUGCGGAAGAGAUAAGUGCUGAAAGCAUCUAAGCACGAAACUUGCCCCGAGAUGAGUUCUCCCUGAGACUUAGAGUCUCCUGAAGGAACGUUGAAGACGACGACGUUGAUAGGCCGGGUGUGUAAGCGCAGCGAUGCGUUGAGCUAACCGGUACUAAUGAACCGUGAGGCUUAACCU
rnacentral:rRNA from 1 species